UUAAAACGCCCGUAGUAAACCAAAGGGUUAUAGUUAUUGAUCUGAUCAGUUCUGUUCAUCAUAGUCGGUCACGUAUUGUGGCUGAUUGGGUGAAUAAGGACAGGUCCUCGGUCUCUAACGGAAGCGAAAGGGUCCGCCCAAUUAGCAUCCGCCAUGGGAUAGGUCAAUGAUUAUGGCUCGUUCCCUAUCAGUCCGCAAGGUCUGAUAGGGCCAAUUGGCACAACCGUAAACAAAUCAGAGUGCUCCAAGCAGGCAAUGUACGGGGUAACCCAUUUGCUUGAAUGAUUUAGCAUGGAAUUGUCACGAAGCCGAUCGGAAACUUCAAGGGAUUUCCUGAGAAGUGGAAGAUCCGGCGUUCGCAAUGAGACACUGAUAGAGGAUCCAAGUACUAUGGCGCGAGAGGUGAAAUUCAGUGACCGCUAUAUGACUAUCUAAUGCGAAAGCAGUUGUGAUCCAGAGCGUGUCUGUCAAUCAGGGACGAAAGUUAAGGGAUCGAAGAUGAUUAGAUACCGUCGUAGUCUUAACCGUAAACGAUACCAACACGAGAUUGGUAGUGAGACUUUUAGAUCCUAUCAGAAUCCAAGGGAAACCGUUAAGUUUUUGGGUUCUGGGGGGAGUAUGGUCGCAAGGCUGAAACUUAAAGGAAUUGACGGAAAGGCACC
rnacentral:rRNA from 1 species